rnacentral:rRNA from 1 species
GACGAACGCUGGCGGCGUGCCUAAUACAUGCAAGUAGAACGCACAGUUUAUACCGUAGCUUGCUACACCAUAGACUGUGAGUUGCGAACGGGUGAGUAACGCGUAGGUAACCUGCCUGGUAGCGGGGGAUAACUAUUGGAAACGAUAGCUAAUACCGCAUAAUAUUAAUUAUUGCAUGAUAAUUAAUUGAAAGGUGCAAUUGCACCACUACCAGAUGGACCUGCGUUGUAUUAGCUAGUAGGUGAGGUAACGGCUCACCUAGGCGACGAUACAUAGCCGACCUGAGAGGGUGAUCGGCCACACUGGGACUGAGACACGGCCCAGACUCCUACGGGAGGCAGCAGUAGGGAACCUUCGGCAAUGGACGAAAGUCUGACCGAGCAACGCCGCGUGAGUGAAGAAGGUUUUCGGAUCGUAAAGCUCUGUUGUAAGAGAAGAACGGGUGUGAGAGUGGAAAGUUCACACUGUGACGGUAUCUUACCAGAAAGGGACGGCUAACUACGUG